AGAACUUGUAGUCCAAAACAACUGGAGAGUACCAGGCUGGCAAAAGCUGCUCUAAUAUCCUAAUUUGUUCCUUUACAACUGUAACCAAGCACUGUGCUAUUGUGCAGUGUGGCUGCUUCAUGAGCAGUUGUAUAAUGCUGUUGUAGGUAGAGGACGGAAGAAGGCUAAUAAUAAUGAUAGGCCUCGAGACCUGAGAGACUUAGUCUACAGAAUGGUCCAGAAUUGCACAAUACAUUUCUGCUGGAGUGAAGCACUACCUAAGUGGGAAAUAGGAUGGAUAAACAUUGUUAGUCCUUUAAAUGGUGAGUUCAUUGUUUGCUAUAAUUGAGCUUAGGUAGGUAAAGGACCCCUGGACGGUAAAGUCCAGUCGAUAAUGGCUUUAAAUGAAAUCUUUUCUUUAUUACAAGUAUGUUUUCCCCUUUUGUGAUCCUCAUAGAAAACUCAUUCAUAUUAAAAGAUGAGGUGCACGCGGCAAGAACGGUGGAGAGAAAAAGGGAGAGAAGGAAAAGAGGUUGGGCAGUUCUAGAAGUAGUACAGUGGGUGAAUUGUAAACAGGAAUUUAAUAUCCAGUUUACUUUCUUGAAACAUUUCUACACACUCUCCCACAUCAGUCUUGAGGAGGCACACAGCAACUUUAAAAUAAAGGGAUGAAAGCAGUUGGUAACCCAGUGCAGAUUUUUAAAAAAGUGUAAGAACCUGCUGGGGCCAGCCUGAUCUCCACUUCCCAGUGGUCUUCCUUGGGAAAGAGGUAUAGCAACUGACCCAACAGCCAAGGAUGGGGAACAUUUUUCAGUCAGAGGCCACGUUCUCUCUCUGGUUGCAGGCCAAUGGAAGGGGCCAGUGUGCGUUCCUGUCUUGUAUUUAUUUAUUGUGUGCAUCUUACUGCACCCAGGUACUAAGAAGUCAUGGCAGGUAUGAAGACAGUAGAGAUGUUGUCCUGCAUUUAGGCAAGCUCUUCUAGUGUGCCCUUCUUGGUGGUCAUGUUGUUGUUGCUAUUAUUAUUGUAAGUCCUCUAGUCUCUGCAAAAUAUUUCCAUGUCUCAAAUUAUGAAUAUUUAUGACUCGACCAACCAGCUUGGAAACUUCAGUUUCCAUUUCAUGGAGAGUUGGUUUUCUGCCCAGUAAGUACCAGCCUUCGCUUCUGGAAAGUUUUGGACUUGCUUUAAAAUUAAGUGAACUUGCUCGGAUACGUUGCAAUGCGUCUUAGCAGAGGCCCAACCAGAUACCCAAUAAUUUUCUGGUUUUCCUUGCCCCCUUGUGUUUAGCCAGAUGCAGUGGCGUAGCGUGGGGGGAAUGUAGACUGCACCGCUGAGAAGUUUUUGAAAUAAGUUGCCAAUUAAUUUGCGAACUGUUUGAUCACAGCCAAUUGGUAUGCACAUUUGUUCAUGAAUCUGUGAAAUGGGGAAAUUUCAUUUAAAUCAGCAGGUUGUUCUUUCUAUGCCAACCUAGGCAACUUGUUGUCUUCUGUGUUUAAGUUUCACAGAAAACAGUUGCACUUAUUUUAGUGGGGGAUCACUUACUCUGUUUCCUA